rnacentral:rRNA from 1 species
UACGAAGGGGGCUAGCGUUGUUCGGAUUUACUGGGCGUAAAGCGCACGUAGGCGGAUCGUUAAGUCGGGGGUGAAAUCCUGGAGCUCAACUCCAGAACUGCCUUCGAUACUGGCGAUCUUGAGUCCGGAAGAGGUGAGUGGAACUCCUAGUGUAGAGGUGGAAUUCGUAGAUAUUAGGAAGAACACCAGCGGCGAAGGCGGCUCACUGGUCCGGUACUGACGCUGAGGUGACGAAAG